rfam:Frankia sp. ETN1f ctg00038, whole genome shotgun sequence.
GGUAUACCCACCUCACUCGGAUCGUCCGGCACGUUCCUGCCGGUGGAGGGUGUGACCA